CCCAUUCCUCCCCGCCUCCCCCUCCCCUUCUGGGUGUCGGGUUCUGGCCUCUUGACUUUAAAGUGUGACUAGCUGGUGUAUUUCUAAUUGACUUGCCUGGCCUCCUCGAAGGAGGCUGAGAUCAUCACUGGAAAGAUCUUCGGUGUUCCAAUGUGGAGCAAGAAACAGACUGAAAGCCUUUGAAGUGCGCCCUGGAGAUGCGAAAUCCUCCCUUGGUAGCAGGAAGCACACACCUAGAGGAUGCUGGAGCUGCAGGUGGAAAGGGCCCACUACCACAGCAGAGAAAAGCAAAAAGAAAAAAGGCCUAGGGACAGACAGCGCUGAGGGGCCCCCCCGCAGCUGUGACUGCCCCCCCCCCCCCCCCAGAGGAGCUUGGCGAGCCGUCCCCGUCUGUGACUGUAAGCUCAGGAUUCCGAUCAAUGCAUUCCAGUAACCCUAAAGUGAGGAACUCUCCGUCAGGAAACACACAGAGUAGCCCCAAAUCUAAGCAGGAGGUGAUGGUCCGUCCCCCCACAGUGAUGUCCCCAUCUGGAAACCCCCAGCUGGAUUCCAAAUUCUCCAAUCCGGGUAAACAGGGGGGCUCAGCCAGCCAGUCCCAGCCAUCCCCCUGUGACUCCAAGAGUGGGGGCCACCCCCCCAAAGCACUCCCUGGCCCAGGUGGGAGCAUGGGGCUGAAGAACGGGGCUGGAAAUGGUGCCAAGGGAAAGGGGAGAAGGGAGAGAAGUAUUUCAGCGGACUCGUUUGAUCAGAGGGACGCUGGGACGCCAAAUGAUGACUCUGAAAUCAAAGAGUGUAAUUCUGCGGAUCAUAUAAAGCCCCAGGAUUCUCAGCAUCCUGCACACUCCAUGACUCCUGCAAAUGCUUCAGCCCCGAGGUCUUCCACCCCCUCCCAUGGCCAGACGGCUGCGCCGGAGCCAGCUGCUACCCAGAAGACGCCAUCCAAAGUGGUUUAUGUAUUUUCUACUGAGAUGGCCAAUAAGGCUGCCGAAGCUGUGCUGAAGGGCCAGGCUGAUACCAUCGUCUCCUUCCACAUCCAGAACAUCUCAAACAGCAAGGCAGAAAGAAGCACUGUACCUCUGAACACACAGAUCUCUACCCUUCGGAAUGAUCCCAAAUCACUACCACAGCAGCCUCCAGCUUCAGCCAACCAGGACCAGAAUUCUUCCCAGAAUACCAAACUACAAUUAACUCCACCCAUUCCGGCACCAGCACCCAAGUCCACCGCUCCUCCCUGUCCCCUGGAUCAGGACAGUCCUGGAGUGGAAAGCAAACUGAUUCCUUCUGCAGGGAGCCCGGCCAAUUCUACGCCACUGCCCGCAGAAGGUUCUGGGCCAAACUCUACCCCUAACAACCGAGCCAUCACUCCAGUUUCCCAGGGGAGUAGUAGCUCUACCACGGAUCCCAAAGGUCCUCUCCCUGCCCCGGUCUCCAGUGGGGAGCCACCCUCCCUGGGAGAGAACCCCGACGGGCUGUCUCAGGAGCAGCUGGAGCACCGGGAGCGCUCGCUGCAGACGCUCAGAGACAUCCAGCGCAUGCUCUUCCCCGACGAGAAGGAGUUCUCUGGGGCACAGAGUGGGGGACCCCAGCAGAGCUCGGGCAUGCUUGAUGGCCCACAGAAGAAGCCGGAGGGGCCCAUCCAGGCCAUGCUGGCCCAGUCCCAAAGCCUCGGCAAAGGGCCUGGGCCUAGGACCGAUGUGGGAGCUCCCUUUGGCCCUCAGGGACACAGAGAGGUGCCCUUUUCCCCCGAGGAGAUGGUCCCACCCCCCAUGAACUCCCAGCCGGGGCCCAUGGGCCCCGACCACCUGGAUCACAUGACUCCUGAGCAGAUGGCGUGGCUGAAGCUGCAGCAGGAGUUUUAUGAGGAGAAGAGGAGAAAGCAGGAGCAGGUGGCUGUGCAGCAGUGCUCCCUGCAGGACAUGAUGGUCCAUCAGCACGGGCCCCGAGGAGUGGUCCGGGGCCCUCCCCCACCCUACCAGAUGGCCUCCGGUGAAGGCUGGGGGCCCACGGGGCCAGAGCCUUUCACCGACGGGAUAAACAUGCCUCAUUCCCUGCCCCCGAGGGGCGCGGCUCCUCCCCCCAACAUGCCGGGAAGUCAGAUGCGUCUUCCGGGGUUUGCAGGAAUGAUGAACUCUGAAAUGGAGGGGCCGAGCGUCCCUAACCCUGCAUCCAGACCAGGUCUUCCUGGAGUUAGUUGGCCAGAUGAUGUGCCAAAAAUUCCGGAUGGCCGAAAUUUCCCUCCAGGCCAGGGGGUCUUCGGUGGCCCCGGCCGAGGGGAACGCUUCCCAAAUCCUCCGAGUUUGUCUGACGAGAUGUUUCCACAACAGCUGGCAGAGAAGCAGUUGGGCCUCCCCCCCGGGAUGAGUAUAGAAGGAAUCAGGCCCAACAUUGAGAUGAAUAGGGUGCUCCCAGGCUCUCAGCGACACAUGGAGCCUGCGAGUAAUCCCCUUUUCCCUCGCAUACCAGUGGAGGGGCCCCUCAGCCCUUCCAGAGCCGACUUCCCGAAAGGAAUGCCGCCACAACUUGGCCCUGGCCGGGAGCUGGAGUUCGGGAUGGUUCCCGGCGGCGCGAAGGGGGAUGUAAAUCUGAACGUCAGUAUGGGCUCCAACCCACAGAUGAUACCUCAGAAAAUGAGGGAGGCUGGGGUGGGUCCCGAGGAGAUGAUGAAACUGCGGCCAGGUGGCUCCGAGAUGCUCCCCUCCCAACAAAAGAUGGUGCCCCUGCCGUUUGGGGACCACCCUCAGCAGGAGUACGGCAUGGGCCCUAGGCCUUUCCUUCCCAUGUCUCAGGGUCCGGGCGGCAGUAGUGGUCUCCGGAAUCUCAGAGACCCAGUUGGGCCUGACCAAAGGACUAACAGCCGGCUCAGCCACAUGCCACCACUACCUCUCAACCCGUCCAGUAACCCUGCCAGCCUCAACACCGCUCCCCCUGUCCAGCGCAGUCUGGGACGUAAGCCCGUGGAUAUUUCUGUCGCCGCUAGCCAGGUGCAUUCUCCAGGCAUUAAUCCUCUGAAGUCUCCCACCAUGCGCCAGGUCCAGUCACCGAUGCUGGGCUCGCCCUCGGGGAACCUCAAGUCACCCCAGACUCCAUCACAGCUGGCGGGCAUGCUGGCAGGUCCAGCCGCUGCUGCUUCCAUUAAGUCCCCUCCUGUCUUGGGGUCCGCUGCUGCUUCACCUGUUCACCUCAAGUCUCCAUCACUUCCUGCCCCUUCGCCUGGAUGGACCUCCUCUCCAAAACCUCCACUACAGAGUCCCGGGAUCCCUCCAAACCACAAAACGUCUCUCACUAUGGCUUCCCCAGCCAUGAUGGGCAGUGUCGAGUCAGGUGGUCCACCACCUCCUACUGCUGGCCAGUCUGCUUCUGUGAAUAUUCCCGGAAGUCUUCCCUCUAGCACCCCUUACACAAUGCCUCCAGAACCAACCCUUUCCCAGAACCCUCUUUCCAUCAUGAUGUCUCGAAUGUCCAAGUUUGCAAUGCCCAGUUCCACCCCACUUUAUCAUGAUGCCAUCAAGACUGUGGCCAGUUCGGAUGAUGACUCCCCUCCAGCCCGAUCUCCCAACUUGCCAUCAAUGAAUAACAUGCCAGGAAUGGGCAUUAACCCCCAGAAUCCUCGAAUUUCAGGCCCAAACCCAGGGGUUGCGAUGCCAACCCUUAGCCCGAUGGGAAUGACCCAGCCACUCUCUCACUCCAACCAGAUGCCCUCUCCAAAUGCUAUGGGACCCAGUAUACCUCCUCAUGGGGUUCCCGUGGGGCCCGGUCUGAUGUCACAUAAUCCAAUGAUGGGGCACGGGUCCCAAGAGCCUCCCAUGGUACCUCAAGGACGAAUGGGGUUCCCACAGGGGUUCCCUCCAGUACAGUCUCCUCCGCAGCAGGUGCCAUUUCCCCACAAUGGCCCCAGUGGGGGUCAAGGCAACUUUCCAGGAGGCAUGGGUUUCCCCGGGGAAGGAGCCCUGGGCCGUCCUAGCAACCUGCCCCAAAGUUCCACAGAUCCAGCACUUUGUAAGCCUGGAGGCCCAGGGGGUCCUGACUCCUUCACCGUCCUGGGAAACAACAUGCCUUCAGUUUUCACAGAUCCAGAUCUACAGGAAGUGAUUCGGCCUGGAGCCACUGGAAUACCUGAGUUCGACCUGUCCCGGAUCAUCCCCUCCGAGAAGCCUAGCCAGACACUGCAGUAUUUUCCUAGAGGGGAGGUCCCAGGCCGCAAACAGCCCCAGGGUCCUGGGCCUGGGUUCUCACACAUGCAGGGGAUGAUAGGAGAACAGGCCCCAAGAAUGGGACUAGCAUUGCCUGGCAUGGGGGGCCCAGGGCCAGUAGGAACUCCAGAUAUCCCCCUUGGUACAGCUCCAUCCAUGCCAGGACACAACCCAAUGAGACCACCUGCCUUUCUGCAGCAAGGCAUGAUGGGACCUCACCAUCGGAUGAUGUCACCAGCACAAUCUGCAAUGCCUGGCCAGCCCACCCUGAUGAGCAACCCAGCAGCUGCUGUAGGCAUGAUUCCUGGCAAGGAUCGGGGCCCUGCUGGCCUCUACACCCACCCGGGGCCUGUGGGCUCUCCGGGCAUGAUGAUGUCAAUGCAGGGCAUGAUGGGACCCCAACAGAACAUCAUGAUCCCCCCACAGAUGAGGCCUCGAGGCAUGGCUGCUGAUGUGGGCAUGGGUGGAUUUAGCCAAGGACCUGGAAAUCCAGGCAACAUGAUGUUUUAAGCUGCUAAGACUGGAUGUGCUGACCCUUCUCAAGCUGAGAUUCCAGGUCCUGAGAGCUGCUUUAAGGGAGCUCCAGGAAGUACAGUUGGUCACGCAAUAGGACAACAGAGACCCGAGGGCUGCUUUGGGGGAAAAAAAAAAAAAACAAAACAAAAACAAAAAAAAACUCGAAUGUAUGAAUUUACCUGAAAACAAAUUAUUCAUUUAAUCAACAGGUGUGUUUUUUUUAAGAUUUAUUUUUUAAAAAUUAUUUUUGUGGACUUGGGUAUCCCAUGAUGGCACCUACUUUUGAGACUCUGUAGCUGUACUUUGAGAAUCGCCAUUUGUCAUGAGUUGCACCAUUCUCUGUAUGUUUACGUCCUUCGGACUGGCUUCUCCCAGGACUCUUGUUUUAUUUUUUGUUUGUUUGUUUUAUUUGGGGUUUUAUUUUUUUGUGUACUGUACUAUAUUGUAAAAGGGAAUUUAGCAGAGACUUUAGUCUUUGGGGUGAGAGGAGAAUGGGAAUGAAUGCCGGGCUGUUUACUUUAGGUGGAGAACCCAUCGGCAGACCUUUGGACUGUUUUCUUUCAACUCCAUUGUAUAGAAAAACCAAACUACGACCUCAGAGCAGAGUAUUAAUGAAAAGCACAAAAAAGGAACUAAGUUCAGCAGGGGGCGGGCGGGGGGGGGGGGCUUUCUUUUAAAGUAAUAAAGUUUAGGACCUUUAUUUUUCUUUUCA
rnacentral:lncRNA from 1 species